rnacentral:rRNA from 1 species
CCGGCGACCGGCGGACGGGUGCGUAGCGCGUAUGUAACCUACCUUUGACAGGGGGAUAACAUCGAGAAAUUGGUACUAAUACCCCAUAACAUCACCGGAGGCAUCUUCGGUGGUUGAAAACUCAGGUGGUCAGAGAUGGACAUGCGUUGUAUUAGCUAGUUGGUGAGGUAACGGCUCACCAAGGCGACGAUACAUAGGGGGACUGAGAGGUCAACCCCCCACAUUGGUACUGAGACACGGACCAAACUCCUACGGAAGGCAGCAG